CCCUUAGAUGUUCUGGGCCGCACGCGCGCUACACUGAUGCAUUCAGCGAGUCCAUCCUUGCCCGAAAGGGCUGGGUAAUCUUUUGAAAUUGCAUCGUGAUGGGGCUUGCGGGUUGCAACUACCCGCACCAACGAGGAAUUCCUAGUAAACGCAAGUCAACAACUUGCAUUGAUUACGUCCCUGCCCUUUGUACACACCGCCCGUCGCUACUACCGAUUGAAUGGUUUAGUGAGAUCUUCGGAUUGGCGCCACUGCGGCUCAGCAAUGGGCUCGGUGGAUGCCGAAAAGUUGAUCAAACUUGAUCAUUUAGAGGAAGUAAAAGUCGUAACA
rnacentral:rRNA from 1 species